rnacentral:rRNA from 1 species
UGAGCAACCUGCCCUUGACUCUGGAAUAAACAGCUGGAAACAGCUGCUAAUACCGGAUACGACCUCCGAUGGCAUCAUCUGGAGGUGGAAAGCUCCGACGGUCAAGGAUGGACUCGCGGCCUAUCAGCUUGGUUGGCGGGGUAAUGGCCCACCAAGGCGACGACGGGUAGCCGGCCUGAGAGGGUGACCAGCCACACUGGGACUGAGACACCGGCCCAGACCUCGUACGGGGA